rnacentral:lncRNA from 1 species
CAGAAAGUGCAGCUCCUUUCUCCUGCCAAAACAAAACAGUAUUUUAGAUUAUAACUAGGCUAGGAGUCGUCUGCAAUUAAUUCUGCUCAAAAACUCCUCUAGCUGGAAAUGCAGAUUGCACCAAUUUGCAAUGAGCUGCUACAAGGUGAGGAAGCUGCUCACCGCUCCUAUUCCAUACUGAAUUUCCCAGCUGGGGCAGCCUCUGCCCUGGCCGUGAACCAGGCCACAUGAGCAGGAGCACAGAUAAUGAGGGCUUGGGAUCUGGAACCAACAGUGAGGGAAACCAGCACCAUGAGGGGAUACAAGCUCCACAAACUCCAAAUCCACCUUUUAUGAGCAAGCUGAACUACUGCAUUAAAAACAGUGAACAAAGACAUUCCUCAGUUACUUGGAGGCCAACAGCAGGAAAUCAGGAUCCUGACACGUUCCUGGUUGUCACAAGAAGCAAUGAUUGUUCUGAACACAGCGCUGCGGUGGGCAGCAGAGCAUCCGUCUGAAAGGGAAAGACGAGACUUUUUAUAUCUUUUCUAGCUGACAUGUCUGAGGCUGCUGCGAGAGGAAUUGUGGUGCAGUAAAGACGUGUGAGAUGAACUGAUGGGAAGCUUGGGGAUGCAGGCAGGCUCCAGCUGGAGCAAGACUUCUACACAGAGAUCAGACUGUUCUGGCAGAUAAUUUAUUACCUUUCUCAAACAAAUCAGGUUGGCCUAAGGGUCAUUAAUGUUUAUAGUGAAGUCCUAAUUAAGCAAAUAUAAACCUUAUGCUCAGCAGAGAUCACAUUAAAAAAGAAAAUAAUCACAUACAACUGUCUUUCUUGUGCUUGCCUCUGCCUCUGAUUUCGUGAUGCCGAUAUUAAUCGACUAAUGGCAACAGAAAUUGCGUUGAAUGUUGUAGAAACACUGGGGCCAAGCAUGGCUGUCAUCCACAGUGAGCACAGUCCACGUUCAGCGAGCUGUGGGGCCCAGCUCUCCUCUGAUGUGCGUUUGAAGCAUCAUUUCUGUCUGUACAAGAGUGGUGUGAAAUCAGGAGGAUGCCUUUCACCUUUCUGUAAAUGACUUCUCAAG